UACGUAGGGUGCGAGCGUUAAUCGGAAUUACUGGGCGUAAAGCGUGCGCAGGCGGUUCGUUGUGUCUGAUGUGAAAUCCCCGGGCUUAACCUGGGAACUGCGUUUGAAACUGAAAGGCUAGAGUGUGGCAGAGGGGGGGUGGAAUUCCACGUGUAGCAGUGAAAUGCGUAGAGAUGUGGAGGAACACCGAUGGCGAAGGCAGCCCCCUGGGCUAACACUGACGCUCAUGCACGAAAGCGUGGGGAGCAAACAGG
rnacentral:rRNA from 1 species